UACAGAGGUCCCAAGCGUUGUUCGGAUUCAUUGGGCGUAAAGGGUGCGUAGGCGGCGCGGUAAGUCGGAUGUGAAAUCUCGGAGCUUAACUCCGAAACUGCAUUCGAUACUGCCGUGCUUGAGGACUGGAGAGGAGACUGGAAUUUACGGUGUAGCGGUGAAAUGCGUAGAUAUCGGUAAGGAAGACCAGUGGCGAAGGCGGGUCUCGUGGACAGUUCCUGACGCUGAGGCACGAAGGCCAGGGGAGCAAACGGG
rnacentral:rRNA from 1 species